rnacentral:rRNA from 1 species
CCCGCUGAACUUAAGCAUAUCAAUAAGCGGAGGAAAAGAAACCAACAGGGAUUGCCCCAGUAACGGCGAGUGAAGCGGCAACAGCUCAAAUUUGAAAUCUGGCCUCACGGCCCGAGUUGUAAUUUGCAGAGGAUGCUUUUGGCGCGGCGCCUUCCGAGUGCCCUGGAACGGGACGCCAUAGAGGGUGAGAGCCCCGUCUGGUUGGAUGCCUAGCCUCUGUAAAGCUCCUUCGACGAGUCGAGUAGUUUGGGAAUGCUGCUCAAAAUGGGAGGUAUAUGUCUUCUAAAGCUAAAUAUUGGCCAGAGACCGAUAGCGCACAAGUAGAGUGAUCGAAAGAUGAAAAGCACUUUGAAAAGAGGGUUAAAUAGUACGUGAAAUUGUUGAAAGGGAAGCGCUUGUGACCAGACUUGGGCUUGGUGAAUCAUCCGGCGUUCUCGCCGGUGCACUUUGCCUGUCCAGGCCAGCAUCAGUUCGCUCCGGGGGAUAAAGGCGUGGGGAAUGUGGCUCCUCCGGGAGUGUUAUAGCCCCGCGUGUAAUACCCUGUGGCGGACUGAGGUUCGCGCUCCGCAAGGAUGCUGGCGUAAUGGUCAUCAGCGACCCGUCUUGAAACACGG